rnacentral:rRNA from 1 species
UAUUAUUUCUAGCUUUAAAUACCACACCAGAACAUUAAUAGAUAUAUUCUUUAAAUUUAAAGGACUUGGCGGUGACUCAGCCUAGUUAGAGGAACCUGUUUUUGAAACGAUAAUCCCCGAAGAAUCUUACCUGUUUUUAGUUUGUAUACCAUCAUUAUUAGAUAAUUUUGAUAAAAUUAAUUGUUAAAAUAUAGGUCCUAUAGUAUAUUAGAUCUAGGUGCAGCGUAUAAACAGGUUAAAAUGGGUUACAAUAAAAUUUAUUUAAACGGAGUAAAGAUUUAAAUAUAUUUAUAAAGGAGGAUUUAAUUGUAAAUUUAAUUUAAUAAGUUAAAUUGAUAUUAGCUCUGAGUUGCGUACAUAUCGCCCGUCGCUGGUCAUA